AUCGAAGAGAAGAGCUGAGGGAAGAGUCGCCGGAGAAGAUGAAGCAGAGCAUUUGAUUCCUCCGGAGCGAGAUCCUCUGUGUGUUAUCAUCGGGUUUGAUCUCAAGCACUUACCCAUGAACCGCGACCUCGAAGCCUUUGCCGACAAAGGUGUCGCGUUAAACGCACGCGCUGCAUUGGGGAUGAAUGACGCCGCUGAUAGCUUUGACUGAAUUGAAGAAGGUGAAGACAGAGAGAGUUUCACAGUCGCCAUUGUUUGUUUGAUGAUUCUCUAUCUCUCUAUCUCUUUUGCCAAGUAAAAUAACGGUCGGGGAUUUCUUCAACUUAUCCGGUCUUUGUGCUAACGACCACAAGUAAUAACCACCCGGUUCGGGUUGUUGGAUCAGGAUACAUACACUUGUACUAAAAAACCGGGUCGGAUUGCUUUUGGUGACUUGUACAAAUUUAAUCUUGGGACAUUAUCUCAAUGACAAGGCCAAUCAAACUCUACCCAUCGUGUGAUAAAGGAAUAAACGUUUUUUACAAAAUUUUCACUUUUCAGUGUGAAAGAUUCAUAAGAAUGUAAGACAGUAAGAGCAUGGCCAUUGGAAUUAUAUCAAGAGUGUUUUACAAAAAAACUUCAAAGAAAAUUAAAAAUAUCUCAAAGUAUUUCAUUUAAAUACUUCAAAAUGUAGUUCUCAUCACUUAAGAUAUAUAAUUAAUGAAAUAAUAAAUUUUCUUUAUUUAUGAAAUAUUUUGGUGAGAUAUUUCUCUUGUUCAUGAUAUGAAUGUUGAUCAUGCAAUCGCAAAUAAGCCUAGUACCUUUAGGAAAAACGAUCAGAUGAAACUUAGUUAUGUGAAGAAUUACUAACAUGUGAAGAUCAUUUUAGAGAAUAUAUUUAAAGUUGGGGUGGACAUCGUAAUAACUUCAUUCAAGAACAUAUUUGAUCAAACAUCGAAUUUUUAAAGUUUUUUUGAGUUGUUAUUUAAUUUGAGAAAACUAAAGGCACUAGAUGAAAGUGAAAUACAAGAACAUUGUACUAAUUUUCACUAUUUUUUUUUUCAUUGUAGUUUUACAGAUGUUGAUUUAAAUUAUUAGUAACAUUUGUCUUAAUAAAACAUGAACACUAACUAAAACCUUAUAUUAUGUGAUAUUUAUGACAAAUUCAAUUUAAUAUUGAAUUUGAUAUUAAUUUCCUUAAGAUUAUAUUUGUAUUUUAGAGUUUAGUCAUACAUAUAUGUUGAUCAAAUUAUUUGUAUGAAUUAAAUAUUUGAGUGAAUAACAUAUAUUAAGUGUAAUUUAUAAAACGUCCACUUCAUUUAAAUUAUUAAACCAGAAAUUACAAUGUGUUUGUUUUUGUUCUUUUAAACUUGAAUUUUCUCGUUAUUAUCUAUGUUUUUUAGGUUUCUUAUAAGUUCUAUUGGUGAUAUAAACUUUUCUACCACAAAGUUCUUUGAUUAUUUACAAUGAUUUUUUCAAUGUUAAACUUUUAUUUGCAAUUCUUCAUCUAUCAUACAUCAUGUUAUAUAAUUAACACUUCAGUCUACAACUACAUUUGAUAAUAAAUACACUGAAACUAAAAAUAUCCACAUGAACUAUAUAUUUUCAAUCAUCAUCUGUCAUUUAUGUUAAUGACAUAAACUGGUACAAUAUCUAUUGUACUUUUAAAAUUGCACAAAAUAAAAAAAUAAAAGUAAUUACAUUACUGAAUAAUAUAUAUAUGAGUAUUAUCCAUAUAAAAAUAAGCUUGAUUAUCUUUUUGUAAACAAAGCAACCAUAUACUUCUAUUAUUGAAAAAUAAUACUAAACCGGCUACUAUAUUUAAUAACAGAAACUAAAUGCACUUUUAACUUUUAAAAUAACAUUUCUAGACCAUUCAUAUUGAUAGCAUAUUUUCAACAAUGCAAUACAAAAUACAAAAUUCUAAAGUAACAAAUCUUAACAGUUAGAGAUGAAAGAUUUACUUGAAAAAUAUUAUGAUAAAUUAAUAUCACAAAUUUAAUAAAAAAUUGAAGCAUUAGUGAUAUACAUUUAAUAUAAAAUUUAAAAUGAUGGUCCAAAUAAAAAUAUCACUCAUCAAAAAAUCAUGAUUUUUAUUUUAUUAGAAAACAAAUUUGAAAAAAUAAAAAUAAAAAUAAAUAUUUAUUUCUAACAAAAUAUUUAAAAAAUAUUAGUAAAUGUAUUUGUGAAAUUAUUUAAUUUCAUUUUAUUUAAAUUUUCGUUUAUAAACCAAAACUAUAUUCAAUUUUAAUUUCUAAUUAUAUUUUAUGAUUAUUUAAAUUAAAAUUAACUAAUAUAAAAUGAGAUAUAAUUUUAUUCUUUUAGUAACAUUUCAUUACUAAUUACAAAAUUUGCUGAAAAUAUUUAUAUUCAAUUUAUGACAAUUAAGUACUAAUUAAUGCUAGAUGACCAAUGAUAUUAUAGUUUCUAUUUUAUUAUUAGUUAAAUUGUGGUUAGGUAAACAAUUAAUGAUGUUUUUGUUUAGAAAUUAAAUGUUUCUUAAUCUACGUGCACAAUCUUAAAGCCUCAUAUAUAAAAAAACAGAGGGAGUAUAUAUUUUUAAUGUUACUCACAUAUUUAAAUGUUUGUAUAAUUCUGCCAAAUAUAAUAAUUUUAUAUUUUUCAUACUGUAAAUUAAAAUCAUCACAUAUAUAUGUUGCUUAUUAUAUAUUUGUCUUAUUGAAUUUGCGUUUGAUUACUAAACUAAAUUUUUUAAUGCAUGAAACAACAUAUAUGAAAACAAUUUUGUAUUUAAUUUAUUAUAAUCAUGAUCCGUAAUUCAAAUCGCUAGAUUUUUUUAGUAAUUUUUUAAUGUUUAUUAAUUUUAUAUAAUAAAUUACUGUAUAUUAAAAAGGUUUUAACUAACGAACUGUUUCUGGAGAAGGCUUCCACAGAAUGAUAGAUCAAAUCUCUCUUCUGGAGGGUCUCCAAUGCAGUCGAAAACCGCGUCUGCGUUCACAAAAUCUUCAUCCGCAGUGUAUCUGCAAAUCCCCAUAUAUGAAGAGUACUCAUUUUAUUUUCUGAUUGAUUAUGAACUUACGAAUCAUCAGGUUAUGAUAAGAUGUGUUAGUGAAACUACUCACCCACUCUUUGUAACUAUACAAGUCAUACCCGCAGCUUUUGCAGCUGCUAGCCCUAUAGCGCUAUCUUCAACCACAACACAUCUGCACAUACAAAUAGAGCCACACUCUUCAGAAGACCUUUUUCUAUAAAAAUAUCUACUCAUUCUCCUGUAAAUAACUAUAGAAACACACUUACUUUGAGGGAUCAACUCCAAGGGUUUCAGCUGCUAAGUUGUAUAUGGCCUGUUAAAAAUAUAUCUUUAGCUAAGAUGAAGCAAAAGAUGUCCUGUUGUAAUGAAAAGGUGUGUUGAGGAACGUUAAGAUGGGAAGCGAGUAAAUCACCGGAUCAGGCUUUUUCUUGGGGACAACGUCUCCAGCGAAUAUCUUGAUAUUCUCUGCUCGUUCUGGUCCAAGCAAGCAUGAAACGAUAGCCGAAACCUGAGAGAUCACGUCUCCAUAAGAUUAAUAUAUAAAUUUCUUCGAAGCUAAAGGAAUAUCUGAGAACAUUCUUGUGGGAAUAACACAGCUGCCUAUCCAUUUAUAUGACUAAUAUGGCCAUGGAAACUAAAGUAGUAGAACCUGAGUGAUCAUACCGCCUUCUCAUUUGAAGUGCUGCACACGGCAACUUUUACUCCAUUCGUUAAUGCUUGAUCAACCAACCUACAAUGUUCCAACAUGAGAAUAUGCUUAGAUAAACAAAGAAAUAGUCGAAACCUACAAGAGAUGAUGUUUCAGUAAAGAAACCACAACGUGUAUAUGAUUCCUAGAGAUAACUAGCCUUAACCAACAUUAAAUAGCAUCAGGAGAAUCCAUCAAAUAAUGUUCUAAAUGUCCUAAUUAGUUUUGUUUAUAAUCAAAUCCCAAGAAGGCUAUAUAUAUAAGAAUUGAUUCUAACUAACUUGGCAACACCGGGUCGAAGAGGAAGCAGCUUUUUCUCGAUGAGAACCAUGAAGAGCUCAGUCUUCUGCUUGUGAAGCCCAGCUAUGAACGCUUUCCUCUCUGCCUCAUCCUUGGGAGCUUUCUCUGGCCAACCUACCUUGUUAAAAUACGCUGUCAUUCUACAAAAAAAAAAAACACAAAGCCAUCUCAAUGAAAAAUAAUAUUAAUUUCAUUCAGACAAGACUAAACUGAAACUUCAUUAACAUCGAGUUUUGGUAAUAAAUACCUUUCUUUCCCGCCACCGAUUUUCAGCAGCUCGCCGUAUAAAUCGACAUCCCAUGUAACACCCAAAUCUCUCUGCGAGAUUACAAAACUCAAAAAGAUUGCAGCCUUAAGCCCAAUAAAAAGUUAAAGGGGGAGAAAAGAGUGACCUCCUUGAAAGUGUCGUUGAAGGAGAUCCUGUGACCGUCCUUCUCCGUAUCAACAAGCACGCCAUCGCAAUCGAAGAGAAGAGCUGAGGGAAGAGUCGCCGGAGAAGAUGAAGCAGAGCAUUUGAUUCCUCCGGAGCGAGAUCCUCUGUGUGUUAUCAUCGGGUUUGAUCUCAAGCACUUACCCAUGAACCGCGACCUCGAAGCCUUUGCCGACAAAGGUGUCGCGUUAAACGCACGCGCUGCAUUGGGGAUGAAUGACGCCGCUGAUAGCUUUGACUGAAUUGAAGAAGGUGAAGACAGAGAGAGUUUCACAGUCGCCAUUGUUUGUUUGAUGAUUCUCUAUCUCUCUAUCUCUUUUGCCAAGUAAAAUAACGGUCGGGGAUUUCUUCAACUUAUCCGGUCUUUGUGC
rnacentral:lncRNA from 1 species